rnacentral:sRNA from 1 species
AUGUUCCUUCAUCCCAUUCUGAUGCUGGCUUCCCUGAAGCAACACUCCUGUUCCAGAUUUGUAUGCUUGAGCAUUCCAGUUGGCUUUUGAGUGGAUACUUGCAGUGAGAGCAUUGACACUGGAAACACUAGUUCCCAUUUUAAUUACUUAAAACACCACGAUGAAAAGAAAUACCUGUGAUUUGCUUUCUCGGAGCAAAAGUGCCUCUGAGGAAACACUACAUUCCAGUAAUGAAGAGGAAGACCCUUUCCGUGGAAUGGAACCCUAUCUUGUCCGGAGACUUUCAUGUCGCAAUAUUCAGCUUCCCCCUCUCGCCUUCAGACAGUUGGAACAAGCUGACUUGAAAAGUGAAUCAGAGAACAUUCAACGACCAACCAGCCUCCCCCUGAAGAUUCUGCCGCUGAUUGCUAUCACUUCUGCAGAAUCCAGUGGGUGAGUGCCCUCAGAUGUCAUUUCCCCAUUUUAUAUUUUAGAUGGUGAUUGUUGUCUGUGGUCUUUUGAGUUUUUGUGGCUCAUUGCUUGAUUUGAGUGGGAGAACAAUGGGGUUUCUAGAGUCAAAAAAAAAAGGAUGAAUUUCUCAGGUGACAUUUCUAUAUCUG